AGAGUUUGAUCAUGGCUCAGGACGAACGCUGGCGGCGUGCCUAACACAUGCAAGUCGAGCGAUGAAACCCCUUCGGGGGUGGAUUAGCGGCGGACGGGUGAGUAACACGUGGGUAACCUGCCUCAAAGUGGGGGAUAGCCUUCCGAAAGGAAGAUUAAUACCGCAUAAAGCCAAGUUUCACAUGGAGCUUGGAUGAAAGGAGUAAUCCGCUUUGGGAUGGACCCGCGGCGCAUUAGCUAGUUGGUGGGGUAACGGCCUACCAAGGCAGCGAUGCGUAGCCGACCUGAGAGGGUGAUCGGCCACAUUGGAACUGAGAUACGGUCCAGACUCCUACGGGAGGCAGCAGUGGGGAAUAUUGCACAAUGGGCGAAAGCCUGAUGCAGCAACGCCGCGUGAGUGAUGAGGGUCUUCGGAUUGUAAAGCUCUGUCUUUUGGGACGAUAAUGACGGUACCAAAGGAGGAAGCCACGGCUAACUACGUGCCAGCAGCCGCGGUAAUACGUAGGUGGCAAGCGUUGUCCGGAUUUACUGGGCGUAAAGGGUGCGUAGGCGGAUGUUUAAGUGAGAUGUGAAAUACCCGGGCUUAACUUGGGUACUGCAUUUCAAACUGGAUAUCUAGAGUGCAGGAGAGGAGAAUGGAAUUCCUAGUGUAGCGGUGAAAUGCGUAGAGAUUAGGAAGAACACCAGUGGCGAAGGCGAUUCUCUGGACUGUAACUGACGCUGAGGCACGAAAGCGUGGGUAGCAAACAGGAUUAGAUACCCUGGUAGUCCACGCCGUAAACGAUGAGUACUAGGUGUAGGAGGUAUCGACCCCUUCUGUGCCGCAGUAAACACAUUAAGUACUCCGCCUGGGAAGUACGAUCGCAAGAUUAAAACUCAAAGGAAUUGACGGGGGCCCGCACAAGCAGCGGAGCAUGUGGUUCAAUUCGAAGCAACGCGAAGAACCUUACCUGGACUUGACAUCCCCUGCAUAGCCUAGAGAUAGGCGAAGCCCUUCGGGGCAGGGAGACAGGUGGUGCAUGGUUGUCGUCAGCUCGUGUCGUGAGAUGUUAGGUUAAGUCCUGCAACGAGCGCAACCCAUAUUGUUAGUUGCUAACAUUCAGUUGAGCACUCUAACGAGACUGCCGCGGUUAACGCGGAGGAAGGUGGGGAUGACGUCAAAUCAUCAUGCCCCUUAUGUCCAGGGCAACACACGUGCUACAAUGGGUAGAACAAAGAGAUGCAAUACCGCAAGGUGGAGCCAAACUCAAAAACUGCUCUCAGUUCGGAUUGCAGGCUGAAACUCGCCUGCAUGAAGCUGGAGUUGCUAGUAAUCGCGAAUCAGCAUGUCGCGGUGAAUACGUUCCCGGGCCUUG
rnacentral:rRNA from 1 species